UACGUAGGGACCAAGCGUUGUUCGGAUUUACUGGGCGUAAAGGGCGCGUAGGCGGCAAUUCAAGUCACUUGUGAAAUCUCCGAGCUUAACUCGGAACGGUCAAGUGAUACUGCUUUGCUAGAGUGCAGAAGGGGCAACCGGAAUUCUUGGUGUAGCGGUGAAAUGCGUAGAUAUCAAGAGGAACACCGGAGGUGAAGACGGGUUGCGUGGGCUGACACUGACGCUGGAGGCGACGAAAGCUAGGGUAGCAAACGGG
rnacentral:rRNA from 1 species